rnacentral:rRNA from 1 species
GACGAACGCUGGCGGCGUGCUUAACACAUGCAAGUCGAACGGAAAGGCCCUGCUUUUGUGGGGUGCUCGAGUGGCGAACGGGUGAGUAACACGUGAGUAACCUGCCCUUGACUUUGGGAUAACUUCAGGUAACUGGGGCUACUACCGGACAGGAGCUCCUGCUGCAUGGUGGGGGUUGGAAAGUUUCGGCGGUUGGGGAUGGACUCGCGGGUUACGAGCUUGCUGGUGGGGUAGUGGCUUACCAAGGAGUUGGCGGGUAGCCGGCCGGAGAGGGUGACCGGCCACACUGGGACUGAGAGACGGCCCAGGCGCCUACGGGAGGCAGCAGGGGGGAAGAUUGCACAAGGGGCGGAAGCCGGAUGCAGCAGCGCCGCGUGCUGGAUGGCGGCCUUCUGGUUGUAAACCGCUUGCGCCUGUGACGAAGCGUGUGUGACGGUAAUGGGUAAAGUAGCACCGGCUAACUACGUG